rnacentral:ncRNA from 1 species
GGGUGUAAAAAUCAUUCAGGCUUCGCAUAACGCGAAUGAAAAGGGAAUCCUGUGAAAAUCAGGAACGGACCCGCCGCUGUCAUCGGGGACGAAUGCUGCAACAGGCCACUGUAGUGUUUGCUAUGGGAAGGCGCAGCGAGUAGGAUGAACCGAGAGUCAGAAGACCUGCCUGAAAUGAUGCGCUCAG